UUAAUAUUCGUCAAAAUUCUAAAUUCCAUUCUAAAUUCUAGAUUUCCAUCUUCGUCAAAAAUAAGCUCAAGAAAAAAACUUCAUGUCUCUGCUGGUUCUCGGCCUUGCGUUUGGGUUUGUCAGCAAAACAGUGGGAGCUUGGGAACAAGUAGAUAACGAUGAAACCUGUCCGCCCGAAUACGAUGAUUUCUGUUUCAAUGGAGGCACUUGUUUUUAUCGUACUAUGAAUUCUGUGAAGUUCAUUGGAUGCUACUGUCCGCUGCACACGCAAGGGCGUCAAUGUGAAGAGUAUGACCCCAGAUAGCUGUCAGGUUCUCAUUCAUCGAUCAUGCUGAGCUACUGAUAUCAC